AAUCCGUGGUGCGAGUAUUUUUGAAUCAAUAUUUUCAAAUGUUCUCAUGCCUUAUGGAAACUUUCUCCUUCCAUUUGUCUAAAAACAGCAAUCUCUUUUCUUAAUU
rfam:Gossypium raimondii chromosome 9, whole genome shotgun sequence.